rnacentral:rRNA from 1 species
AUUGGGCGUAAGCGCGCGCAGGUGGUUUCUUAAGUCUGAUGUGAAAGCCCACGGCUCAACCGUGGAGGGUCAUUGGAAACUGGGAGACUUGAGUGCAGAAGAGGAAAGUGGAAUUCCAUGUGUAGCGGUGAAAUGCGUAGAGAUAUGGAGGAACACCAGUGGCGAAGGCGACUUUCUGGUCUGUAACUGACACUGAGGCGCGAAAGCGUGGGGAGCAAACAGGAUUAGAUACCCUGGUAGUCCACGCCGUAAACGAUGAGUGCUAAGUGUUAGAGGGUUUCCGCCCUUUAGUGCUGAAGUUAACGCAUUAAGCACUCCGCCUGGGGAGUACGGCCGCAAGGCUGAAACUCAAAGGAAUUGACGGGUGCCCGCACAAGCGGUGGAGCAUGUGGUUUAUUU